UACGUAGGGGGCUAGCGUUGUCCGGAUUUAUUGGGCGUAAAGAGCGUGUAGGCGGCCAUGUAGGUCCGGUGUGAAAACUCGAGGCUUAACCUCGAGAUGUCAUCGGAAACCAUUUGGCUAGAGUCCGGAAGAGGAGAGUGGAAUUCCGGGUGGAGCGGUGAAAUGCAUAGAGAUCCGGAAGAACACCGACGGCGAAGGCAGCGUCCUGGCCGAGCACUGACGCUCAGGCACGAAAGCGCGGGGAGCAAACAGG
rnacentral:rRNA from 1 species